rnacentral:ribozyme from 1 species
ACCAGCAUGCUAUGUGUACGGAUCCGAAGCCUCUCGAAAGCCACGUCGUACAAAAUGGUAACAUAUCUCUCCAAAAAUCUGAGCUUGGAUAUAUGGGACACCCAAUUCCUUGGGAAGAUGAGUUAUAUAGCUAAAGAUAGCGAA